rnacentral:rRNA from 1 species
UACAGAGGUCCCAAGCGUUGUUCGGAUUCACUGGGCGUAAAGGGUGCGUAGGUGGUGGGGUAAGUUUGAUGUGAAAGCUCCGGGCUUAACCCGGAAAUGGCAUUGAAUACUAUCUCGCUUGAGGGUUGGAGGGGAGACUGGAAUUCUUGGUGUAGCAGUGAAAUGCGUAGAUAUCAAAGAGGAACACCAGGUGGCGAAGGCGAAGUCUCCUGGGACAACUCCUGACACUGAGGCACGAAAGCCUAGGGGAGCAAACAGG